CAGAAUGUGAUAGCCAUGAGCCAAGGGCCAUCGCUGUGAUAGUGUGAGCCGGGAUAAGCUUGGUGCUACUUCUUUUCUUUUAUUUGUUAUUUUCUUUGAAUAAGAGGAUUGAGAGUUUUUGAAUAUUGUGAAGUAAAUUAUGGAAUGGAAAUUUGAUUGGUAUUAUUUGAGAAGAAGAAAGAUUGAAUGUUGUAAUCUAAUUGUAGUUCAGCAGAGAAAAUGAGUCUAUGUUUGUAUGAAACAUUGUAAUAUGAAUGGCAGUUCUGUGUGAAGAAUUCCAGUGAUUGGAACGAGGGUAAUUGUAUGCUGAAAUCUGUGAGGGCGCAGUAUUACAGUUAGAGAUUAUGAGGGUGAAUAUAUUGGUAGAAAUAGCAGUUAUUGAUAUGACUGAAUUGCUGUAAAGAAGAGACCAAUAAGGUGAAGGAGGAGAUUAUAGUUUCCUUGUGUGUUUAGAUAUUGGAAAUAGAGACAAUACAUUCAGGAGGUAAUUAAUUGUGUGACCCUAAUGUGAACGCUUAAGCAACUAGUCAUUUCUCGUGUUCGAAUCUCCCUAUAUGGAUUUAUGCUGAGAGGUUUUUUCUGGAUUAAAUAAAAAGAGCAAUCAUAUUUUGGCGCCGCUGCUGGGGAGUGAUAAUAGCUUUGAAUGUUAGGAAUUAAUUACUAAAUAUGUAAAAAAAUUAGUAAUGGAAGAUGAUUUCAGUAGUGUUUGAAGCAAGAUUAUGGUUAAUAAGAACGAAAGUAUUGCAUCGAGGAAAAU
rnacentral:lncRNA from 1 species